CCCAGUUCCGAACCCGUCGGC
rnacentral:snRNA from 1 species